rnacentral:rRNA from 1 species
GGACAAUGGGCGAAAGCCUGAUCCAACCAAUCCGCGUGUGUGAAGAAGGCCCUCGGGUUGUAAAACACUUUAAGCUGGGAAGAAGGGUUGUAACCUAAUACGUAAAAAAAAUUUGACGUUACCAGCAGAAUAAGCCCCGGCUAACUCUGUGCCAGCAGCCGCGGUAAUACAGAGGGUGCAAGCGUUAAUUGGAAUUACUGGGCGUAAAGCGCGCGUAGGUGGCUUGGUAAGUUGAAUGUGAAAUCCCCGGGCUCAACCUGGGAACUGCAUCCAAAACUUCCUGGCUAGAGUUCGGUAGAGGGUGGUGGAAUUUCCUGUGUAGCGGUGAAAUGCGUAGAUAUAGGAAGGAACCCCAGUGGCGAAGGCGACCCCCUGGGCUGAUACUGACACUGAGGUGCGAAAGCGUGGG